rnacentral:rRNA from 1 species
UACGUAGGGUGCGAGCGUUGUCCGGAAUUAUUGGGCGUAAAGGGCUCGUAGGCGGUUUGUCGCGUCGGGAGUGAAAUCCACUGGCUUAACUGGUGGCUUGCUUUCGAUACGGGCAGACUGGAGGUAUGCAGGGGAGAACGGAAUUCCUGGUGUAGCGGUGAAAUGCGCAGAUAUCAGGAGGAACACCGGUGGCGAAGGCGGUUCUCUGGGCAUGUCCUGACGUGAGGAGCGAAAGUGUGGGGAGCGAACAGG